GUACCUACGGGACGCAGCAGUGGGGGAUAUUGCACAAUGGGGGAAACCCUGAUGCAGCGACGCCGCGUGAGUGAAGAAGUAUUUCGGUAUGUAAAGCUCUAUCAGCAAGGAAGAUAAUGACGGUACCUGAGUAAGAAGCCCCGGCUAACUACGUGCCAGCAGCCGCGGUAAUACGUAGGGGGCAAGCGUUAUCCGGAAUGAUUGGGCGUAAAGGGUGCGUAGGCGGCCUGCUAAGUCUGGAGUGAAAGGUACCGGCUCAACCGGUACAGGCUCUGGAAACUGGCGGGCUAGAGAGC
rnacentral:rRNA from 1 species